GACGAACGCUGGCGGCGUGCUUAACACAUGCAAGUCGAACGGUAAGGUCCUUCGGGGUACACGAGUGGCGAACGGGUGAGUAACACGUGGGUGAUCUGCCCUGCACUUCGGGAUAAGCCUGGGAAACUGGGUCUAAUACCGGAUAGGACCACUGCCUGCAUGGGUGGUGGUGGAAAGCUUUUGCGGUGUGGGAUGGGCCCGCGGCCUAUCAGCUUGUUGGUGGGGUGAUGGCCUACCAAGGCGACGACGGGUAGCCGGCCUGAGAGGGUGACCGGCCACACUGGGACUGAGAUACGGCCCAGACUCCUACGGGAGGCAGCAGUGGGGAAUAUUGCACAAUGGGCGCAAGCCUGAUGCAGCGACGCCGCGUGAGGGAUGACGGCCUUCGGGUUGUAAACCUCUUUCAGCACCGACGAAGCGCAAGUGACGGUAGGUGCAGAAGAAGGACCGGCCAACUACGUGCCAGCAGCCGGGUAACAC
rnacentral:rRNA from 1 species